AGUGCGCGCGCGCAGUGUUGCUUUGGAAUUAAUUUUCUGUCGCCUCUGCUAAAACAGGGUGGCAACUCAGCGGCGCAACAACCAAGUACCUCGGUCGCGCGCAUUGAAAACAAUGCGAUUGCUACUAUAAAAAAUGGUGCAUAAGUCACCUAUUAGUGCACAAUAACUGACAGCAGUUACUUGUACUCGCCAUUGCUUACCGCAUGCAAAUCACAUCAAAAUGGCGUUCAGAAUUUGGAUAAGAAACGAACGACGGAAAGCUUACGUAAGUGCAAAAAGCAAUAACAACGUUGGAAGGAGAGAGGAAACAAGUCUGUAAGAAAACAGGGUGUCUUUUACUUAUAACCAUGUGGCCUGUGAUCAAAUCACAUUUUAUGAACGGGACACCCUGUUUCCGCCAAAGAGAGCGGCAGAGAAUAAACACAACGAGUAUUCAAAAAGCAACAGCACUUUGGAGAGAUAGGGUGUUUUUUUUUUAUACAGCCAUGUGGCUAACAAGCAUUCACACUAACGAGCGAAACACCCUGUUUCCGUAAAAAUGAGCGUCUGGGAGCGCAUUGCACCCACACAAACACACCGAGCCUUGUAUACAGUGGAAAGCGACGUCGGCAGAGCGGACUCAGCCGACUAUUGCAGUACAUAAUGAAAUCGACAAAACCGAAAAUCAGAAACCAAACGGACCACUAGCGAGCUACAACUCUGCCACGGCUACACUUUACACACUCAUGUACUCCUCCACCUCGCUUACCAACCCACACACACACAAAGGCGUGCGUGCGGUGAGAGGCAGGCAGAAAAAAGUAAAAAAAAGCAAAGUGCAUCUCACCAUGACAAUGGCGGAACCAUAAAAACACAUGUUUCCAUCUUGAAUCGAAGCGAAUUCGGCGGCUUACCUCCUUCAAAAAAAAAACAGGCGAAAAAUAUCUGUAUACGCGAAAAAGCUAAGCUGCUAAAAAUGCGACAUGGAAACCUUGCAGUUAUCGAUUCGCCUCGCUCAUUGCGCAAUGAAAAAUGCAGCGGGGGCGGCAAAAGAGUAAUCGAGAGAGAGAGAGAGACUCUUUUUUCUCUUUGAGGCACCUGCAGCGUAGGAAAUGCAAAUCCGCCUUCUACUUUCCAGCUCAAAAGUUCAAAGUUCACGUGCAACCAACUACUGGGUGCAGCGCAUGCACCGAAAUCCCCGGACCGAAAAAAAGGGACAAACAAAAAACGCUCCGACUGACAAACUCCGCAGGAAGGUUUGUUUGUCAUUCCAUUGGCUGUAAUUAAGAUUGCUUGACUAGUGAAGACUACAAAGGGAAAUGAACCAGUUAUACAAAAUGGAUAAAGUGAAAUAAUCAAUGCGAUGUAUCUAAUCCAGGUUUACAUAAUUCCAAAUAGUUGAAUAUUAGUACGAGGUCAGAAAAUGAUCAGAUAUUGUGUUUUCUCCUGCGUCACCUGAUUCUUAAUGUGAUGAAUACUCUUUAACUGUAUAAAUAGAGUCAAGCUUUACAAGUUUGGGAGAAUUAAAAAUCGAUUUUGUCAGUUUUUAGACAUUUUUAAAUCCGUGAGUCUUUUUUUCUGUAUGAUUAAAAGUUAUUAAUAUGUUUACAAUAAUUGUUACACCCUAAUCUAUACAUUUAGCUUUUGUAGGGAGGAAAAGGAUACUUUUAAUAAUUGUAAAAAAAAGGUACUUUUACCUCUUUUUAAAUUAAUCUAUUUAAUAGGAGUGCAAAUUAAGUUUGUUAGAAGAUCUUUUUCUCUAUUUUCCAAAACAAACCCUUGUUUAUACUAUUUUAAUACAUUUAAAAUAAUCACUGGAACAUAAGAAUGUUUUCGAAUAAUUAAUUAUUAAAUAUUUUAGAUUUUAGAAGCAAUCAUGUAAAAUCUACAAAAUUUUAAAGAUCUUAAAUCCUAUAGAAAAAAAUUCAUUUCGUAUUCUCCAAUUUGUCUAUACAAUAAUACCCAAGACGUGCUCCAAUUAAGACAUAAACAACGUCUAAUAAACUUCAACUUCUUUCCGACCAUCAA